GCCAGCAGUGGCAACCCGCUCAGGCCCCCUUCCACAUUGUGGAAGCUUUGUUCUUUCACUCUUUGCAAUAAAUCUUGCUGCUGCUCACUCUUUAGGUUCACACUGCUUUUAUGAGCUGUAACACUCACCGCGAAAGUCUGCAGCUUCACUCCUGAGCCAGCGAGACCACGAACCCACCAGAAGGAAGAAACUCCGAACACAUCUGAACAUCAGAAAGAACAAACUCCAGACGCGCCACCUUAAGAGCUGUAACACUCACCGCGAGGGUCCGCGGCUUCAUUCUUGAAGUCAGUGAGACCAAGAACCCACCAAUUCCGGACACACCAUUGUCUGACAUUAAAGGUGCGGAGAUAUUGCCUGCUCCUCUUCAUUAUGAUUGGCCCACCUCUUAAAAAGACUGCAACAGGCCGGGCGCGGUGGCUCACACCUGUAAUCCCAGCACUUUGGGAGGCCGAGGCGGGCGGAUCACGAGGUCAGGAGAUCGAGACCAUCCUGCGUAACACGGUGAAACCCCGUCUCUACUGAAAAAUACAAAAAAUUAGCCGGGCGCGGUGGCAGGCGCCUGUAGUCCCAGCUACUCGGGAGGCUGAGGCAGGAGAAUGGCCUGAACCCGGGAGGCAGAGCUUGCAGGGAGCCGAGAUCGCGCCACUGCACUCCAGCCUGGGCAACAGAGACUCCGUCUCAAAAAAAAAAAAAAAAUACUGCAACAGAUGAUUCAAUUGUCUAAAAUACUUCGAAGUACAGAAAUUAAAUGCUUUAGCCCAUAAACAUAUCCCUUAUCUACUGUGUUGCUAAGGAACAUAUCAGCCAUAUCUAUCAUGCA
rnacentral:lncRNA from 1 species